CUCCUUGAGUAAAGUGGCGUACGGGUGAGUAACACGUGACUAACCUACCUCCGAAUGGGGAAUAACCUCGGGAAACCGGGGCUAAUACCGCAUAACAUCUACGGAUCAAAGCAGCAAUGCGUUUGGAGAGGGGGUCGCGGCUGAUUAGCUAGUUGGUGGGGUAAUGGCCCACCAAGGCUACGAUCAGUAUCCGGCCUGAGAGGGCGCACGGACACACUGGAACUGAAACACGGUCCAG
rnacentral:rRNA from 1 species